AUUCAACCUUCAGCGGCACACACCAGAACCAGCAGAGAAAUUUCAGCCGCUAAAACACACCAUUAAUUUCUCGAUGUUAUCACAAACUGAAUGAAGCACGGGUCGCGUUCGUCGCGAACAAGCAGUAUUGGCCAUUUGUAUUAAAAGAUCCAGCCAAAAUUGUUGCUCCCGUGGUCGAGUGAUUAGCAUCAAGACAGGUCUAUGGUACUAGGUGAGGCCGUUUCGUCACUAAGUUGGUUAGGGGAGCGAUAUAUGAAAACAGUACGGAAGAAAGCAGAAGGGGAAUUAUUUCCUUGAAGCGUGAAAGAGACAGACUGAUCACGAGCGAGCUUCGGCACGAGCGUAUUGUGUUUUGUUUACAACAAAACACAGUAGACUUCCAAGAUGGCUGAAGAGUGGUUUUAGCAAGUUGGCCCACCUUAGGAUAUACUUCUACGCGCCUUGAUUAGCAUCACGCCUAGCAUGUCACUGCUGAAUAAUUCUGGUAACUAAACAUCUCCGCCACGCUCUAUUAAAUUUUAGUACUUGUUCAAAUAGCUCAUAAUAGCUAAUGUUACAUGAAUUCAAUAUAUAAAUUGAUGAGCGCACUAAAUAAUUAUAUCAAUUGUGAAAAACCUUGAUCAAAACCAUGAUCAGAGGUGGUCAAACCAUGAUCAUAAUUCUUCUUUAAGGAAAAUCGUUAAAAAACAUAAAAAUUUGAAUAAUUUCAACACCUUAUGGUCAUUCACACAGUUCAGCUUGAAGCGAUCGGACGCUUUGUGCUAUUGUGCUCGCGUUUCUUCUUCUUUUUGGCUUUAAGAGGGUUUAAACUUUUCAGUUCAUUCGCCUCUAGAGUGCUCGCGUUUCGGUAACAGCUUUUGUUAUUGGCUGGUGUUUUUUCCUCAACCAAGUGUGCUUCUUCCUUCGCGUGUUAAUUGUGGGAACAGUGAAGUGCGCUCAACGUUCCCACCAGCUGGAGUGAAUAGCUUCUCACAGCAGAUACUGGUGAAGGUCUAUAGAGAGACACUUUUGAUCGCCGAAUCAUCGCCAUUUCCACCGCCGACGUAGGUGCGCUCGCUCACCAAUACACCUACAGCAGUGUAACAAUAGACGCCAACACGUGAUCAACUGGACGGUGCAGAACGAGUCGAAUAUUAUCUGCGCGGGGUGCGCAUUUAGGUGAA